GCAUGGGUUUGGAUUUAUGGCAGGCCGGUUCCCCUGGGCGUCUCAUAAUAUUCCAUGGCAGAGCAAUCUAUGAUCCCAAACCAUUGGCUGGCAUCUGUCCUUAGGUGUUGGCACUGAAGUGGGUUGCACAGUA
ensembl:snoRNA